rnacentral:rRNA from 1 species
UAGGGAAUCUUCGGCAAUGGGGGGAACCCUGACCGAGCAACGCCGCGUGAGUGAAGAAGGUUUUCGGAUCGUAAAGCUCUGUUGUUAAGGAAGAACGAGUGUGAGAAUGGAAAGUUCAUGCUGUGACGGUACUUAACCAGAAAGGGACGGCUAACUACGUGCCAGCAGCCGCGGUAAUACGUAGGUCCCGAGCGUUGUCCGGAUUUAUUGGGCGUAAAGCGAGGGCAGGCGGUUAGAAAAGUCUGAAGUGAAAGGCAGUGGCUCAACCAUUGUAGGCUUUGGAAACUGUUUAACUUGAGUGCAGAAGGGGAGAGUGGAAUUCCAUGUGUAGCGGUGAAAUGCGUAGAUAUAUGGAGGAACACCGGUGGCGAAAGCGGCUCUCUGGUCUGUAACUGACGCUGAGGCUCGAAAGCGUGGGGAGCGAACAGG